rnacentral:rRNA from 1 species
AGCGAACGCUGGCGGCGUGCUUAACACAUGCAAGUCGAACGUGAAAUGUAGCAAUACAGAGUAAAGUGGCGUACGGGUGAGUAACACGUGGGUAAUCUACCAAAGAGCCUGGAAUAACCGACCGAAAGGUUGGCUAAUACUGGAUAGUUCAAAUGAAAUAUAAUGUUUCGAUUGGGAAAGGGAGCGAGCAAUCGCCUUCACUUUUUGAUGAGCCCGCGUCUGAUUAGCUAGUUGGUAGGGUAAUGGCCUACCAAGGCGACGAUCAGUAGCUGGUCUGAGAGGAUGAUCAGCAACACUGGAACUGAAACACGGUCCAGAGUCCUACGGGAGGCAGCAGUGGGGAAUCUUGCGCAAUGGACGAAAGUCUGACGCAGCCACGCCGCGUGAGUGAAGAAGGCCUUCGGGUUGUAAAGCUCUGUCGGAAGGGACAAAAACGUUUAAGGUUAAUAGCCUUAGAUCUUGAUGGUACCUUCAAAGGAAGCACCGGCUAACUUCGUGCCAGCCGCCGCCGUAA